GUUCUUUGUGUCGCUCCCUGCUCUCGUCUCAUAAGGAUGGAUCCAGGUCCAAGGGGACACUGUCAUGGUGGUCAUCAUCCUCACUGCGGACCACCUCCUGGCCAUGGGCCAGGGCAUUGUCCUGGGGGAAGCCAUCCUCCAGGACCUGGUGGGCACCCCCCUGGCCAUGGGCCAGGGCAUUGUCCUGGGGGAAGCCAUCCUCCAGGACCUUGUGGGCACCCUCCUGGCCAUGGACCAGGGCAUUGUCCUGGGGGAAGCCAUCCUCCAGGACCUGGUGGGCACCACCCUGGUCAUGGGCCAGGGCAUUGUCCUGGGGGAAGCCAUCCUCCAGGACCUGGUGGGCACCCCCCUGGCCAUGGACCAGGGCACUGUGGGUAUCCCCAUGGUCCACAUCACUGAGAAAUAAGAGGAAAAAAAAAAGCAUGGCACAAAAUGAGGAGUCUGAAUGGAUUGCUCUGCUGACCUGGCAUGGGCCCUGAA